CAGAGUUGCAAAAACUCCCACACAAAACCCAUCGCGUAAGAGUCUUAACCCGUACGGUUUUGCCUCGGCUUCGCUGGGCCGGGUCCGGAAAGGACCCUCGGGCCCCCCCGGAAUCCUCGGGUUCUCCCGCCUCAGCCGGGGAGGCCUGGCCACGCCGGAGUAGUGGCCGAAGAAACCAAACUCUUGCAUAUUAUUUAUGUCUUCUCUGAAGUAAACUUUUAAAUAAUGUCA
rnacentral:misc_RNA from 1 species